UACGUAGGGUGCGAGCGUUAAUCGGAAUUACUGGGCGUAAAGCGUGCGCAGGCGGUUUUGUAAGUCAGAUGUGAAAUCCCCGGGCUCAACCUGGGAACUGCAUUUGAGACUGCAAGGCUAGAGUGUGGCAGAGGGGGGUAGAAUUCCACGUGUAGCAGUGAAAUGCGUAGAGAUGUGGAGGAAUACCGAUGGCGAAGGCAGCCCCCUGGGCCAAUACUGACGCUCAUGCACGAAAGCGUGGGGAGCAAACAGG
rnacentral:rRNA from 1 species